rnacentral:lncRNA from 1 species
CCUUGGCUUUUGCCAUUGACAUAAUCUUUUAAAGAAUCUAUGUAGAUGGGUUUUGACAUUCUUUUGACCAUGGGAAGAUUCAUAAGUGUUCAUUAGACUUCAAUGUUCAAUCUUCUAUAGAAAAAGUGAAAUUAAGGAUUUUAGCUUUAAGGAAAGCCUUUCAAAGAUACCGUCAGUGAGCACUAGAGAUGGCAAUUUUGGUCAUCUACCAGAUACCCAAUCUGGCCCAAUCCGAAUAGGGGUUUUUAUCCGAUCUAGUUAAAAUCAGAGACAAAUAUGGUUCUAAAAAAAAAAUUUGAAAUAGCUUC